rnacentral:snoRNA from 1 species
CUCUAUGAUGAGGAUAAUUUGCGAUUGAUUCUAUUCGGUGGCCCUCUCGCCGGAGUGGCUAUACCGUUUGGAUAGCUGAUAUUCAAUUUCUUACAUAUUCUGAAC